GCCAAUACUGAAUGUAUUUUAUAAUAUUGGUCCACAAAUGUGCAAAUCAAGAUGCAUUAGGACCGUAGGAUGUAAUUCAUUCAACUUCGUAAAAAGUCUUAUGUACUGCGAACUUCUUAACUCGACUCAAUCAGUCAUACCGAAAGACCAGGAACAUUACAUGUACUCCAACAUGUCAACAUGGACAAUUGAUCAAGACGCUUGUUGGCCGAACCCAUGUUUAAAAGAUGCAUGUGUAAUCGUGUACGGUGGUCUGCCAAUUUGUAUACCAUUCGAGAAAUCAGAGUAUAUAGGUUGUUUCCUUGAUCAAUAUUAUGACAGGCAUUUGAAACACAGAUUACAGCAUUUACCAAAAUUGACACUUGCAUCCUGCAGAAAACAUUGUAGUGGAU